CCACGCCGUAAACGAUGUCGACUUGGAGGUUGUGCCCUUGAGGCGUGGCUUCCGGAGCUAACGCGUUAAGUCGACCGCCUGGGGAGUACGGCCGCAAGGUUAAAACUCAAAUGAAUUGACGGGGGCCCGCACAAGCGGUGGAGCAUGUGGUUUAAUUCGAUGCAACGCGAAGAACCUUACCUGGUCUUGACAUCCACGGAAGUUUUCAGAGAUGAGAAUGUGCCUUCGGGAACCGUGAGACAGGUGCUGCAUGGCUGUCGUCAGCUCGUGUUGUGAAAUGUUGGGUUAAGUCCCGCAACGAGCGCAACCCUUAUCCUUUGUUGCCAGCGGUCCGGCCGGGAACUCAAAGGAGACUGCCAGUGAUAAACUGGAGGAAGGUGGGGAUGACGUCAAGUCAUCAUGGCCCUUACGACCAGGGCUACACACGUGCUACAAUGGCGCAUACAAAGAGAAGCGACCUCGCGAGAGCAAGCGGACCUCAUAAAGUGCGUCGUAGUCCGGAUUGGAGUCUGCAACUCGACUCCAUGAAGUCGGAAUCGCUAGUAAUCGUGGAUCAGAAUGCCACGGUGAAUACGUUCCCGGGCCUUGUACACACCGCCCGUCACACCAUGGGAGUGGGUUGCAAAAGAAGUAGGUAGCUUAACCUUCGGGAGGGCGCUUACCACUUUGUGAUUCAUGACUGGGGUGAAGUCGUAACAAGGUAACCGUAGGGGAACCUGCGGUUGGAUCACCUCCUUACCUUAAAGAAGC
rnacentral:rRNA from 1 species